UUUUUAACUUGGUGCAUGCUAAUCUAAGAAUUAUUGUUUUCCCCCUAUUCAUUAACUCGAUUGCUAUUUGAAGUAGGUCUACAGCCACCAUAACACUAUUGGAAAUAAAACUAUGUAUGACACAAUGUUUGAACUAAUGUAUUGGAAAUUAAACUAUGUAUGACACGAUGUUUGAACUAAUGUGUUGAUAGCAUAAGUGCACGAGUAAGAAAACAAUG
rnacentral:misc_RNA from 1 species